UUACGGUCAUAUCACGUUGAAACACCGGAACGAUCACUGAAGUUAAGCAACGUUGAACCUGGUCAGUAUCUUAGAUGGGUGACCAUUUGGGAAUGCUAAGUGCU